CACAGGUGGAAGGGCACGCUGCCACUUCUGCCACUGGAAGACUGCCAGCAGGUGCAGGAGUCGGUGCUUCGAGUGUGGCCAGAUAGUGUGCACCAACCACUACAAACUCCUGUGCCCCAACUGCUAUCAGUAAAAGAAACGACCCUGUCCAGUGAUGCCAAAUUUCAUAGAAGGGGGCCCUACAGUAUGAGGCACCUCACUUUUGAAGCUGGCCAGGGCAAUGCAGUAAUCUACCGUGAUGGUCGGACCUCCAACCUUGUGUUUCUGUGCCUUUUCUUUUAUUAUGUACCUUUUUUGCAACUGCAAAAGAUGUUUUACAAAAGUCACUCAAAAUUUUACUUAUUUUUGUUUCCUAGCUUAGUAAAUUUUUAUACAGUCAUGAUAUACCUCAUACUUGCUGUGAUAGCAUUCAGAUGGAUCUAUUUUUUCAUUUUUGUAGUCAUUCAAACAAUAAAAAUUAGUGCUAGUAUUUUUUUUUUAUUAUUUCCUCAGCCGGACCAGUUGGUCCAGGUAUACUUCGUAUGUACGCUGUGGACCAGAGAUACCAAUCUAGG